CGAUCCCUAGCUCCUGUGUAAAAAAAAAAGAAAAGAAACCUAGCUCCGCCUCCGCCGCCGCCGCCGCCGCCGCCGCCGCAACUCGAGCGGCGAAUCGGCGAUGCCACCCAAACUGAGGUCGUCGAAGGGGGUGGCGCCAUCCCCUUCCACCGGCGAGGGUGGAGAAAGCCACACAUCGAAAAAGAAUCCCGCUCCGGCUACGGCUCCCACCGCCGGAAGUGUUACUCGAUCUAGAGCGAGGGAUACUACUGAGCGCGCUAGAGCUAGUGGCGGGGGCACGGCACUGGAUCCGAAGAAGAGAAAGAGGACAGAAGAGUCAGCGGCGUCAUCAGCAGCGGCGGCAGGUCCGGUUCCGAAGAAGAUGACCACCGCCGGUAGUACGACCUUGGCCUCCCGGCCGCUCCCUCUUCGCUACCCGCCUUAUCCCACCUUACCACCGGGGACUCGUCCUACCAGCAGACAAUAUUUGGAUCCCGUCCUUGACAGAAAAUAUUUGGAUUCCGUUCUUGAGUGGGCCAAGGAGCGCCGCCGGAUCGCCAAACUCUCCAAGAAAGCUCAAUGUAAAGAUAUCCCCACUCUCAGGCAUUCGCCCAUGGAUCCCAUCACUGCAGAUGCCGUCGUCACAUCACAAGACAAGGCCAUGGUGCUGCGUGUGGCUCGCUCCGUUGUCAGUGUUUCAUCCACAAUGCCUGAUGGGGGUGGAUUGAUUUCCCGGUGCACUGGCGUCGUAAUCGGUUGGGAUGGGGCUAACAAACGUGCCAAGAUCCUCACUGCUGCUUCUGUUGUUUGUGACUUCCAUGGUGAAUUGCAUAACCCAGCACUCAAGCUAUCCGUCAGUAUGCCAAAUAAGACAACAACAGAAGGAAGGUUGUUGUUCUACAAUGUGCACUAUGGUAUUGCUCUUUUGGAAGUCAUGGGAGACUACAAGUUGGAGGUCCCUUCUUUUGGAUCGGGCACAAACUACGGUCAGGUCAUAUUUGCAUUGGGUAGGGGUGAAAACAUGUCUUUAAUGGUUAGCCAUGGAACAAUUUCAUGGACAGAUUACCCUGUGUUAUUGAGGAACCACAAUAUGUUUCUGAGCUGUGAUAUUCCUGAGGGUGGUUCAGGAGGGCCGGUGGUUGACCAUGGUGGCAAUAUGAUUGGGAUUGCAUUUGUAGAAAAUCCGGGUCCGGUCUUUAUCUCUAUCAAGACAAUCAUGACUUGCAUGGAGAUGUGGGAUCAGUUUAGCCGUGUUGCUCGCCCCUUGCUUGGCAUGCAAUUGAAGUCAGUGGAACUACUGGAUGUCUCCAUUCAGGAGGAACUCUGUCGUGACUAUAAUAUCACCAGUGGUUUCAUUGUGAGUCAGGUGCUCGUUGAUUCUACUGCUGAAAAGCUUGGUAUUAGACGAGGGGACGUGAUUGAUUUUCAGGAUAUUGAUUGUUCUACUUUAUCCCAGUUAGAAGACCACCUCCUUUCUCUUGGUUGGGGAUACCUGAAAGGGAUGCAUUUGACAGUCGAUCUGAAGGUUGAAGUUCAUAAUCUCUUCGACUCAUAUAGGGAAAGUAUUACUUUCCCUGUACAGUUCACUGAUGCUUCUAAGCAGGUAAACUAGAGUUGAAGAGGUGCUGCAAGGGAUUGAAGUUGCCUAGAGUAAUAUGACUGACCAAGGGGAGGGAUGUCUACUUGUGCCUUUUGGAUAAUCUGGCAACCUCAUUGUGCUUUUGGGACAAUUUGGCACGUCUUACCAGCGAUGCAACCUCAUUCCUCUAAAUGGUUGUGCUGAUAUAGUUUUGGAUGAGAUUUUGUAAAGAUAGUGUUACUGCGCCUCUUACGCUCUUAACAGAAAACCAUGCCCCUCCGUAUAUAUAGCAAGGUCAGAUUAGCGCCAUAAACUGAAUCUAAACUUUGUUUUUGAUGAACUCAGACACACACAAUCAACACAUUACAGUCGCGUGGGCCCACGAAUGUGCCCUCAACGACGUGCUGCUACUAUAUCAUCAGUAUUCAGUACUUCCUCCGUUUCACAAUGUUGAAAUUAAAGACGAAGCCGUUGAUCACACUCGAAGACUAAACAGGUGCAACCUGUGAAGAACACCAAAAGGUUGGAAGGAGACCAUCAAGACGGUGAUCCCGACGGCGACGCCCGGCCGGGAUCAAGUGGAUUGGUAAUUUUGGUGAGAUCUGAACAAGUGCAUGGUCACUUACUUUCAUCUCCAAAUGGGCGGCGUAAGAAGUAUGUACUUGGUCUUGUUCUUCACCUGUAUAUUUAUUUUUGUUGUCCAAUCAAUCUUCCACGUUUUCUGAAUAAUGAAAUCUGGGAGAUCAAUUUGCCGCGAAGAAUUAGCACUUUUAAUCAC